AACGAACGCUGGCGGCAUGCCUAACACAUGCAAGUCGAACGAGACCUUCGGGUCUAGUGGCGCACGGGUGCGUAACGCGUGGGAACCUGCCCUUAGGUUCGGAAUACCUCCCCGAAAGGGGUGCUAAUACCGGAUAAUUUCUUCGGACCAAAGAUUUAUCGCCUUUGGAUGGGCCCGCGUUGGAUUAGCUAGUGGGUAGGGUAAAAGCCUACCAAGGCUACGAUCCAUAGCUGGUCUGAGAGGAUGAUCAGCCACACUGGGACUGAGACACGGCCCAGACUCCUACGGAAGGCAGCAGUGGGGAAUAUUGGAAAAUGGGCGAGAGCCUGAUCCAGCAAUGCCGCGUGAGUGAUGAAGGCCUUAGGGUUGUAAAGCUCUUUUACCCGGGAUGAUAAUGACAGUACCGGGAGAAUAAGCACCGGCUAACUCCGUG
rnacentral:rRNA from 1 species